GGAUGUGAGGGCGAUCUGGCUGUGACAUCUGUCAUCCCAUUGAUCGCCAGGGUUGAUUCGGCUGAUCUGGCUGGCUAGGCGGGUGUCCCCCUCCUCCCUCACCGAUCCAUGUGCGUCUCUCCCCAAGCUGCGCGCUCGGUCGAAGAGGACGACCUUCCCCCCCGAGGAGAGGACCGGUCUUCGGUCAAGGGUAUACGAGUAGCUACGCUCCCCUGCUAGAACCUCCAAACAAGCUCUCAAAUGGGAGUUCCAUUUUUAGUUUUUUGAGGAAACUCCAUACUGUUCUCCACAGUGGCUGCACAGUCUGCAUCCCAU
ensembl:misc_RNA 7SK 7SK RNA